GGAGAGAUGGGCAGAGAGGAACCUCCUGAAGUUCAACAAAGGAAUGACCUCAGCAGAUCUGCUGAAAGUAGCAAUUGGCCGCUUACGUCUCUUCUUCCAAGGAAAAAAGCACCAAAGCUCUCAUUUUUGUUCUCUACCAGAAUGAAACUGCGGGAUGUCAAAACCUCUGCAAAGUGAAGGCAUCAUCUUCUGGCCACUGCUGAGGCACAGGGCUGCCAUUGGCACUUGGCUUGUUCUUCACAAUGCAUCCCUUGUUUUGCUAUAACGCCAUCCUCUCCCCUUUCCCUUUACUACCACUUAUGCUGUCUCUAAAGUGAGUCUUCCUGGCAAGAUGUCUGAAGAAUGAAUAAACAGAAUAA